rnacentral:rRNA from 1 species
GACGAACGCUGGCGGCGUGCCUAAUACAUGCAAGUAGAACGCUGAAGAGAGGAGCUUGCUCUUCUUGGAUGAGUUGCGAACGGGUGAGUAACGCGUAGGUAACCUGCCUUGUAGCGGGGGAUAACUAUUGGAAACGAUAGCUAAUACCGCAUAACAAUGGAUGACACAUGUCAUUUAUUUGAAAGGGGCAAUUGCUCCACUACAAGAUGGACCUGCGUUGUAUUAGCUAGUAGGUGAGGUAACGGCUCACCUAGGCGACGAUACAUAGCCGACCUGAGAGGGUGAUCGGCCACACUGGGACUGGGACACGGCCCAGACUCCUACGGGAGGCAGCAGUAGGGAAUCUUCGGCAAUGGGGGCAACCCUGACCGAGCAACGCCGCGUGAGUGAAGAAGGUUUUCGGAUCGUAAAGCUCUGUUGUAAGUCAAGAACGAGUGUGAGAGUGGAAAGUUCACACUGUGACGGUAGCUUACCAGAAAGGGACGGCUAACUACGUGCCAGCAGCCGCGGUAAUACGUAGGUCCCGAGCGUUGUCCGGAUUUAUUGGGCGUAAAGCGAGCGCAGGCGGUUUGAUAAGUCUGAAGUUAAAGGCUGUGGCUCAACCAUAGUUCGCUUUGGAAACUGUCAAACUUGAGUGCAGAAGGGGAAAGUGGAAUUCCAUGUGUAGCGGUGAAAUGCGUAGAUAUAUGGAGGAACACCGGUGGCGAAAGCGGCUCUCUGGUCUGUAACUGACGCUGAGGCUCGAAAGCGUGGGGAGCGAACAGG